AAAAUAGAUUGAAUGAAAGAGAUGGAUAGAGUGUAGUGUUGCCCUCCAUUUGUACAGUUGUUAAAUCCGUUGUCUUUGUGUCUCUGUGGUGGAUUUGACUGGCAGGCGCUCAGUCUUGUGUUAGCUGGUUUCUCUUUGGUUUCUUGAUUGUGGAAGGAUUGAUGAGGAUGGCGAUACAGCACACUCACCUAGCACUGCUGUACACCUGGACACAAGAGCUGCACUGACAGGUCUGCCAAGUGGUCACGACAGACAGACGAUAACUGUCCACAUCAGUGAACGUCCUUGGCUCAGGAGAACUAUCCAACCAAUCAGGAGAGGUGUGGGGCGACGCCGUCCAAUUGGUGGGGAAGAAAUGUUGGGGCAGGGCGGGCAUGUGGCCCUGGCUCUCGUGUCAUUGCUACUGCUGUGGCACAAAGCAGCACCCAUUGAAGUCCCACAAGAC